rnacentral:rRNA from 1 species
UACGGAGGGUGCGAGCGUUAAUCGGAAUCACUGGGCGUAAAGCGCGCGUAGGCGGCUUUUCAAGUCAGGGGUGAAAUCCCACGGCCCAACCGUGGAACUGCCUUUGAAACUGUAGAGCUUGAGUGUCGGAGAGGGUGGCGGAAUUCCAGGUGUAGGAGUGAAAUCCGUAGAUAUCACGCAGAACCCCGAUUGCGAAGGCAGCAUACCGGUGCACAACUGACGCUCAGGCACGAAAGCGUGGGUAUCGAACAGG